rnacentral:rRNA from 1 species
UAGGGAAUAUUGCAAAAUGGGCGAAAGCCCGAUGCAGCAACGCCGCGUGGGCGAUGAAGGCCUUCGGGUCGUAAAGCCCUUUUUGAGGGGAUGAGGAAGGACAGUACCCUCAGAAUAAGCCUCGGCUAACUACGUGCCAGCAGCCGCGGUAAAACGUAGGAGGCGAGCGUUAUCCGGAUUUACUGGGCGUAAAGCGCGUGCAGGCGGAUUGGAGAGUUGGAUGUGAAAGCUCCCGGCUUAACUGGGAGAGGUCGUCCAAUACUUCCAGUCUUGAGUGCAGUAGAGGGCAGUGGAAUUCCGGGUGUAGUGGUGAAGUGCGUAGAUAUCCGGAGGAACACCAGUGGCGAAAGCGGCUUCCUGGACUGUAACUGACGCUCAGACGCGAAAGCUAGGGUAGCAAACG